rnacentral:rRNA from 1 species
UACGUAGGGGGCAAGCGUUGUCCGGAAUCAUUGGGCGUAAAGCGCGCGUAGGUGGCUUCGUAAGUCCGUUGUGAAAGUCAAAGGCUCAACCUUUGAAAGCCGAUGGAUACUGCGGAGCUAGAGUACGGAAGAGGCGAGUGGAAUUCCUGGUGUAGCGGUGGAAUGCGCAGAUAUCAGGAGGAGCACCAAUAGCGAAGGCAGCUCGCUGGGACGUUACUGACACUGAGGCGCGAAAGCGUGGGGAGCGAACAGG